rnacentral:rRNA from 1 species
AAUCAACGCUGGCGGCGUGCCUAACACAUGCAAGUCGAACGCGAAAGCCCCUUCGGGGGUAAGUAGAGUGGCGUCCGGGUGAGUAACACGUGGGUAAUCUGCCUUCGGGUGGGGAAUAACCCAGGGAAACUUGGGCUAAUACCGCAUAAUGCAGCGGCACCUAAUGGUGAUUAGUUGUUAAAGCGGGGGAUCGUAAGACCUCGCGCCUGAAGAGGAGCCUGCGGCAGAUUAGCUAGUUGGUGAGGUAAUGGCUCACCAAGGCUGCGAUCUGUAGCUGGUCUGAGAGGACGGCCAGCCACACUGGCACUGACACACGGGCCAGACUCCUACGGGAGGCAGCAGUGGGGAAUUUUGGGCAAUGGGCGAAAGCCUGACCCAGCAACGCCGCGUGAGGGAGGAAAUCCUUCGGGAUGUAAACCUCACAAGCAAGGGAAGAGAGCUGCGGGCUGAAUAAUCCCGCAGUACGACGGUACCUUGCGUAAGCCACGGCUAACUACGUGC